GGCAGAGAGACUAGAAGUGGAUCCAUUCCAAUUCAGUCACUGACUUCCCUUCAGAGACUGCCUUCAAAUUGGUUCAAGUUACAGUAACAGUUUUCAUGGUAGAAACACAGUUUUGGUGAGAACUGGACUGAAUCUUCCAAGUGUCUGUGACUGUAUAAGGACUGUAUAAAGAUGUUUUUUCCACCUGUGAUGACUGCUCUUGAUUCUUUGUUGCCCCUCUCUGAGUUUUGGUUCUGAGGUGAGAUUGUAAAACGGGUGAAAAGCAUCUCAUGUCCCGACAUGCAAAAGGGCUUUCAAAUAGCCUCUCCACCAGGGACAGGAAUGUCUUCUGUUGUGGUGAAUUGCUAGGCGAUAGCUCUUGCCAUGUAAUGCUGAACAGGAUGCAGCAGGAAAGUCACAUGCACACAAAGUCACCAGCAGCUCAGUCUUGAAACAGCUACAUCAGAGUGCAGAGAAGUCUAUUAGUGCUUUGCUGGAUUUAGUCCCUUCCUGCAGUCUUGUUGCUGUGCGUUUCCUACACCUACCUCAGGGAACACAGGUCAGUUGACAAUUCUGCCUUCUACUCUUCACUCUUAAAGUAAUCACAAUGGAUUUGGUAAUGAACGGUUUAAUGACAGGAUGUAAAAAAUGGAUGAAAAUGUUUAAAGGCUCUGUGAUUUGAGAAGAGUUCAGAACCGACAGAUUUAUGAAGUCAUCAAUGUAUAUCAGGUACCUGAAGCUACAGGUGGCUUUCUACAUUGAGAAAAAGCAAACAUAUUUAGCCUGCCUUUAAAGGAAGAACAGGUACAAAAGUUACUGAUUUUACACAUAGUGAUCUUGAUUCUGUGCUGCAGUUUUGAGUUUCCAGUCUAGAACACAUGCACACAUACACUCCUAUUCUAUACGCAAUGGCAUAUGUUUAACUUUAUAACUUUACUAGUCCCAUUUUUGGCAGUAUUAUCU
rnacentral:lncRNA from 1 species